CAAUAGCGUAUAUUAAAGUUGUUGCAGUUAAAAAGCUCGUAGUUGGAUUUCUGGUGGGAGCGAUCGGUCUGGCGCUUAGCGCGAGUACUUGCAUCGUCUCCGGCCAUCCUUGGGGAAAGUCUGUCUGGCAUUAAGUUGUCGGGCAGAGGAUCCUCAUCGUUUACUGUGAAAAAAUUAGAGUGUUCAAAGCAGGCUUAUGCCGUUGAAUAUAUUAGCAUGGAAUAAUAAGAUAGGACUUUGGUACUAUUUUGUUGGUUUGCACACCAAAGUAAUGAUUAAUAGGGACAGUUGGGGGUAUUCGUAUUCCGUUGUCAGAGGUGAAAUUCUUGGAUUUACGGAAGACGAACUACUGCGAAAGCAUUUACCAAGGAUGUUUUCAUUAA
rnacentral:rRNA from 1 species